UGAGAAUAAAAGGUUUUUAAGGGGCCAA
rnacentral:sRNA from 1 species